rnacentral:rRNA from 1 species
UACGUAGGGCGCAAGCGUUGUCCGGAAUUAUUGGGCGUAAAGAGCUCGUAGGCGGCUUGUCACGUCGGGUGUGAAAGCCCGGGGCUUAACCCCGGGUCUGCAUUCGAUACGGGCAGGCUAGAGUGUGGUAGGGGAGAUCGGAAUUCCUGGUGUAGCGGUGAAAUGCGCAGAUAUCAGGAGGAACACCGGUGGCGAAGGCGGAUCUCUGGGCCAUUACUGACGCUGAGGAGCGAAAGCGCGGGGAGCGAACAGG